ACGUACUCCAGAGACGAGACC
rnacentral:siRNA from 1 species